ACGCUCGACACCUACGGAAGGCAGCAGUGAGGAAUAUUGGUCAAUGGGCGCUAGCCUGAACCAGCCAAGUAGCGUGAAGGAUGAAGGCUCUAUGGGUCGUAAACUUCUUUUAUAUAAGAAUAAAGUGCAGUAUGUAUACUGUUUUGUAUGUAUUAUAUGAAUAAGGAUCGGCUAACUCCGUGUCAGCAGCCGCGGUAAUCUGAGCGGGCUGGCAAGGC
rnacentral:rRNA from 1 species